GCAUUAAUGGGGUAGUGGUAACCUGGGUCGUUGCCAUUUGAGUUAAUUGCUCGACCCGCCGGGGGUUCGAUUCCCUCUUAAUGCA
rnacentral:tRNA from 1 species